rnacentral:rRNA from 1 species
GACGAAGGGGGCUAGCGUUGUUCGGAAUUACUGGGCGUAAAGCGCGUGUAGGCGGUUGCCCAAGUCGGGUGUGAAAGCCUUGAGCUCAACUCAAGAAAUGCACUCGGUACUGGGUGACUAGAGGACCGGAGAGGAUAGUGGAAUUCCCAGUGUAGCAGUGAAAUGCGUAGAUAUGUGGAGGAACACCGAUGGCGAAGGCAGCCCCCUGGGUUAACACUGACGCUCAUGCACGAAAGCGUGGGGAGCAAACAGG